AUUGAACGCUGGCGGAAUGCUUUACACAUGCAAGUCGAACGGCAGCACGGGGCAACCUGGUGGCGAGUGGCGAACGGGUGAGUAAUACAUCGGAACGUGCCCAAUCGUGGGGGAUAACGUAGCGAAAGUUACGCUAAUACCGCAUACGAUCUACGGAUGAAAGCGGGGGAUCGCAAGACCUCGCGCGAAUGGAGCGGCCGAUGUCAGAUUAGGUAGUUGGUGGGGUAAAGGCUCACCAAGCCAACGAUCUGUAGCUGGUCUGAGAGGACGACCAGCCACACUGGAACUGAGACACGGUCCAGACUCCUACGGGAGGCAGCAGGUGGGUAAUUUUGGACAAUGGGCGCAAGCCUGAUCCAGCCAUUCCGCGUGCAGGAUGAAGGCC
rnacentral:rRNA from 1 species